rnacentral:misc_RNA from 1 species
ACAAACUUGGUCAUUUAGAGGAAGUAAAAGUCGUAACAAGGUUUCCGUAGGUGAACCUGCGGAAGGAUCAUUAUUGAAAUGAAAUUGAGUGGGGUUGUAGCUGGCCUUUCAACGGGCAUGUGCACAUCUCAUUUAAUCCACAUCUCUACCUCUGUGCACUUCUCAUGGGUCGGGUUGCGUCUGAAAUAUUGACAAAGCCCUUCUCGUGUGUUUAUACAAACGAAUCAUGUUAUAGAAUGUCAUUUAUAAUGCAUAAACGCAUUUAAUACAACUUUCAACAACGGAUCUCUUGGCUCUCGCAUCGAUGAAGAACGCAGC